UUUGAACUCAAGAUUCUUUUAUGAUGAUGGAAUAUUUCAUGUUUUAAUACCCAGUAUAGAAUGCAUGCUCAAGUAUUUUACCAGGUAUGUGUUUUUUUACAGGUUCAUAUAAUAUAUAAAAUGCAUUUCUGUUCCAAGAAAAAUAUAACUGGUAAACAAUUGGGAAAGGGCUUGCAUAUUUUCCUUUAUUACCCUGUCUGAUGAGUAAUGCUUUCAGUUAUGCUCACUUCACGUUUAACCAGGCUAGUGUUUAGUCUUGGUUAGGGCUGUUUUCCUUAUGAGCACAGGAACGGCCAAUCUUGUGCCCUGCCUGUCUUCCAGGUGGAGUCUUUGCAUUGUUUCCAGAUCAUGGGGCUUAAUGUAAGGUCAGAGUUUCUUGUGAAAACAGAUUUUGGAUUAGCUAUGUCUGUGCACUUGCACACACCCCUGCACACCUGCCUGUGCACUUAAGCUGGAGUCACUUGCUAGAGUCAUGCUUUGAUUUCAAGAUGCAACGAAGACUUGAGAUUCUGCCUUAGAACCUAAAAGUGUGAGGUCAGACUGAGUGCACUGUCCCGGCAGCUAUUGCUUUCUAGAGCAUAAGGUCUGGGAAAGAGCUGGGUUAUUAUGAGUGUCUCAUGCAGGGGCUGUCUUUGUAAAUAUAGAUUUCUCUGUGUUAAGUGGUCCUGAAAAAGAUUGUGUGGCUUUUAAAAUACAAAGUAUUUUCUAGCCCUUUCUAGAAAAACGUUGGCAACCCCUGACAAUUUAAUUUAAAAAAAAAAAAAAGUGUUCGAAUCCAAGUUUGAUCACACCUAUAGAACUUGGCCAUCUUCUGUAAGCUGUGUGUGUGGCUGUGUGUGAAUAUAUGUUACCUGUUUAUUGUGUGUGCCGUGCUGUUUCUCAGGUUCAGGAAGGACUCUAGGCACAAUAGACAUAAUUCCUGUCCUUGUGAAACUUGAAGCCAGUAAUACAUUCUCUGAUAAUAGUCACCAUAAUGAAGAGCAGGGAAAUUGAUUACAUAUAUAUAUAUAGUGUUCUGCUUACACGUAUGCCUACACACACCAGUGGAAGGCACCAGAUCUCAUUAUAGGUGGUUGUGAGCUACCAUAUGAUUGCUAGGAAUUGAACUCAGGACCUCUGGGAGAUUAGCCAAUACUCUCAACCUCUGAGCCAUCUCUCCAGCCCCCAGAAAUUAACAUUUACAAAAGUAAUAUUUAGUACAUUCUUUGGCAUAGGCAAUGAUCAGCAAAUAUAUCCUGAAUGAUUGGUGUGAGUCCAUGUUUGCUGUCCUCAGAAGUUCUCACUGGAGAGUGAGUGCCUAGAAAUAACAGGGACUAUCUCUGGUGCAUUAGUCCUGCACAGCGAAGAGCUUGUAUGAAAUUCUGAUUCACCUCUGAGUGCAUGAUCCAUAUGCCCUCAGUCUCUGGCCCAAGCAAUGCAAGAGUUUCCGCCUGUUCCUGUAGAGAUGGUUCCAGUGGAGGAAGUAGAAGCGAGAGCAGUCAGAAGCGCAGUGCUCGCUCUCACCACGGAAAUACUCUGGUGAACCGGACUCCAUUCCUUGCAGCUUUGUGCUCACCCUUUCUUUCCCAUUAGACAAUAGGUUCGAUUAACAAUCCUGUGUAUCAUCAUGUGGUGGGCAGAAUAUGUGAGAAUAUUAGGACCAAGUUAGGUUCCUAUUCUUUGAAGUUGUGAUUAUGUUUUAGGAAUGAAGAGUAACAUUUAAAAUUGUGGGACUAGCUGGGCAUUGUUGAUGCGCCUUCAAUCCCAGCACUCUGGAGACAGAGGCAGAUCAGUCUCUGAGUUUGAGGCCAGCCUUGUAUACAGAAUGAGUUCCAGGACAGCCACGGAUGCAUAGAAAAACCCCAUCUC
rnacentral:lncRNA from 1 species